rnacentral:rRNA from 1 species
CACGUAGGGGGCAAGCGUUGUCCGGAUUUAUUGGGCGUAAAGAGCUCGUAGGCGGUUCGGUAAGUCGGGUGUGAAACCUCCAGGCUCAACCUGGAGAGGCCACCUGAUACUGCUGUGACUCGAGUCCGGUAGGGGAGCGUGGAAUUCCUGGUGUAGCGGUGAAAUGCGCAGAUAUCAGGAGGAACACCAAUGGCGAAGGCAGCACUCUGGGACGUGACUGACGCUGAGACGCGAAAGCGUGGGGAGCAAACAGG